GGAGCCUGCCAGCUGUGAGGGCCUCUGUGGUGGAGGAGUUGGUGCUCAUGGUGAUGCUGACCGUGAUGGGACCCUGAGGCCCUGCUGGCCAGCAAGAGGGCAGGGUUGGCCUGAGGAGGAAGACGGAGAAGACGUGAGGGGGCUGUUGAAGAGACGGGUGGAGACCAGGCUGCACACAGAAGAGGCCAUCCGCCAGCAGGAGGUGGGGCAGCUGGAUUUUCGAGACCUCCUGGGAAAGAAGGUGAGCACAAAGACCGUAUCAGAAGACGACCUGAAGGACAUCCCAGCCGAGCAGAUGGAUUUCCGCGCCAACCUUCAGCGGCAAGUGAAGCCAAAGACUGUGUCUGAGGAAGAGAGGAAGGUGCAUAGCCCCCAGCAGGUUGACUU
rnacentral:lncRNA from 1 species